CUUUCCUUGAGAAGCCGGACACGGCCCUACCCCAGUUCUGGUACCAAUUGGCCUGGCCUCCCCACUCCUCCGGCUACCCAGACAGGAGAGGAGCCGUGAGUGAGAGACUGAGGAAGGAGGCACAGUGGGAGAGCGGACGUUGUUAUGGACGGGGACGAGAACGCGCAGGCGCAACUGCAUUGCUGCCCCCCCCGAGAAACAGCCAGGUUGCUGAGGGUCCACGCUCCAGCUUGCCCCCGCUACAUCAAUUGGAGGAGAAAAGUUUGUGAAUUGGGCCCCCAACUUUUGGGGGACCCAG